CAAGUGUGAAAGUAGAUCUGUUCAUCAAAACUUGGAUGUCUGUGUUUGGCCUCCCUGUACCGGGAAAGCAGACCCCAGUUUGGCUCAGUCACGCCAACAAUGGCUCAGCCUCCAGCAGGGAUACAGGUGGCAUGGGGAGGAGUGGAAGGCUUUUUACUCUGCCUUUCGACUGAAUUUUUGCAACAUGCAACUCAUCACAAAAAAGGUCAGCCUUGAAAUACUGUUUUCUUGUUGGACAAAGAUCUUAGCAACUGUGAUAUAUUUAAGGUACUUCUGGCUACAAUACUAUUAUAAGUUUUAAAUUUAUCCAAAGGUUAGCAUUUAGGUAAACUCAGUCUUCAGGAAUGCAGCAGUGGCCUCAGAGACGUGGUCUUGGUGCAGUGACAGCAAUAAUGGUGCAGUCCGAUUCCACUAAAAGGACCACCGUUCCAAGGUACCGCGAGGCUCCUGUGAGUCAGCCAACCGUGCUCACCUUUCCCUCGAUCUAAAGUCCAGAAACAAGCAACUAUAAAUCACUGAAGAAAAACGCAAGUUCCACUGUUGGAUGAUAAUGAAAAGUUACACUUGCCAGCAAGAAAUCAGAGAAAAAACUUCCAAAACUUACACCAAAAGGAAAUGUAUCUCAGUCUGAAGAAUUAAUUUUACUUACAAGGAAGAAAGUGUGUGUGUGUGUGUGUGUGUGUGUGUGUGUUUGCAACCAUGAAAUUACAAAGACCAUCCAAUGACUAAUGUUGAAACUUUCACUCUGAUUAAGUUUUACUACGCUAAUUAUAUUUUUUAUAGUUUCUUUUUAAAAAAAUAUUUUGUCAGAUUUACUGAGGAACAAUUUACAUUAGUGUAAUCAUCUUUUUCAGGUGCACAAUUAGACAUGUUUUUAAAAAUUGCAUUUUUCUUCAGUAAGAACACUUAAUCUGAGCACAUGCGAUUUGCCUCUUAGCAGAUUAAGUGUGCAAUACAGUAGUGCUACCGACGGUGUUAAGUGUGCAAUACGGUAGUGCUACCGACGGUGUUGUGUGCAAUGCGGUAGUGUGACCGACGGUGCUAAGUGUGCAAUGCGGAAGUGUGACCGACGGUGCUAAGUGUGCAAUGCGGUAGUGUUACCGACGGUGUUGUGUGCAAUGCGG
rnacentral:lncRNA from 13 species